AUUGGCAUAGCAUUCCACUUAGUUAAGACUAAGUCAGCAUAAUAGUCAUUCGACUAGGAUCAACUUUUACAGUGGAAAGCCGAGAUAUGUUCAGUAUCGAGAUACAGUCAGUAUUUUGACUUUUACAGUGAAAAUCGAAAUAUAAUCGAUAUGUCGAUUUUUACAGUGAAAAAUCGAAAUAUAAUCGAUAGGAAUUGACCAUCUAUUUAUCGAUUUAAGCUCACUUUG
rnacentral:lncRNA from 1 species